UACGUAGGGUGCAAGCGUUGUCCGGAAUUAUUGGGCGUAAAGAGCGUGUAGGCGGCCCGAUUAGUCCGCUGUGAAAGUCCAGGGCUCAACCCUGGAAUGCCGGUGGAUACUGUCGGGCUAGAGUCCGGAAGGGGCGAGUGGAAUUCCUGGUGUAGCGGUGAAAUGCGCAGAUAUCAGGAGGAACACCAAUGGCGAAGGCAGCUCGCUGGGACGUAACUGACGCUGAGACGCGAAAGCGUGGGGAGCAAACAGG
rnacentral:rRNA from 1 species